rnacentral:rRNA from 1 species
UACGGGGGGAGCAAGCGUUGUUCGGAUUUACUGGGCGUAAAGGGCGCGUAGGCGGCGUAACAAGUCACUUGUGAAAUCUCCGGGCUUAACCCGGAGCGGCCAAGUGAUACUGUUGUGCUAGAGUGCGGAAGGGGCUACUGGAAUUCUCGGUGUAGCGGUGAAAUGCGUAGAUAUCGAGAGGAACACCUGAGGUGAAGACGGGUUGCUGGGCUGACACUGACGCUGAAGCGCGAAAGCUAGGGUAGCAAACGGG